GAAUAUUGGACAAUGGGUGAGAGCCUGAUCCAGCCAUCCCGCGUGAAGGACGACGGCCCUAUGGGUUGUAAACUUCUUUUGUACAGGGAUAAACCCAGAUACGUGUAUCUGGCUGAAGGUACUGUACGAAUAAGCACCGGCUAACUCCGUGCCAGCAGCCGCGGUAAUACGGAGGGUGCAAGCGUUAUCCGGAUUUAUUGGGUUUAAAGGGUCCGUAGGCGGGCCCGUAAGUCAGUGGUGAAAUCUCGCAGCUUAACUGUGAAACUGCCAUUGAUACUGCGGGUCUUGAGUAAAUUUGAAGUGGCUGGAAUAAGUAGUGUAGCGGUGAAAUGCAUAGAUAUUACUUAGAACACCAAUUGCGAAGGCAGGUCACUAAGAUUUAACUGACGCUGAUGGACGAAAGCGUGGGGAGCGAACA
rnacentral:rRNA from 1 species